UGAUCCUGGCUCAGGACGAACGCUGGCGGCGUGCUUAACACAUGCAAGUCGAGCGGUAAGGCCCUUCGGGGUACACGAGCGGCGAACGGGUGAGUAACACGUGGGUAACCUGCCCUGUACUCUGGGAUAAGCCUUGGAAACGAGGUCUAAUACCGGAUACGACCACUUGAGGCAUCUCUUGUGGUGGAAAGUUCCGGCGGUAUGGGAUGGACCCGCGGCCUAUCAGCUUGUUGGUGGGGUAAUGGCCUACCAAGGCGACGACGGGUAGCCGGCCUGAGAGGGUGACCGGCCACACUGGGACUGAGACACGGCCCAGACUCCUACGGGAGGCAGCAGUGGGGAAUAUUGCACAAUGGGCGAAAGCCUGAUGCAGCGACGCCGCGUGAGGGAUGACGGCCUUCGGGUUGUAAACCUCUUUCAGCAGGGACGAAGCGCAAGUGACGGUACCUGCAGAAGAAGCACCGGCUAACUACGUGCCAGCAGCCGCGGUAAUACGUAGGGUGCGAGCGUUGUCCGGAAUUAUUGGGCGUAAAGAGCUCGUAGGCGGUUUGUCGCGUCGGCCGUGAAAACUUGGGGCUUAACCCCAAGCCUGCGGUCGAUACGGGCAGACUUGAGUUCGGCAGGGGAGACUGGAAUUCCUGGUGUAGCGGUGAAAUGCGCAGAUAUCAGGAGGAACACCGGUGGCGAAGGCGGGUCUCUGGGCCGAUACUGACGCUGAGGAGCGAAAGCGUGGGGAGCGAACAGGAUUAGAUACCCUGGUAGUCCACGCCGUAAACGGUGGGUGCUAGGUGUGGGGGACUUCCACGUCCUCUGUGCCGCAGCUAACGCAUUAAGCACCCCGCCUGGGGAGUACGGCCGCAAGGCUAAAACUCAAAGGAAUUGACGG
rnacentral:rRNA from 1 species